UACGAAGGGGGCUAGCGUUGCUCGGAAUGACUGGGCGUAAAGGGCGCGUAGGCGGAUUGCUUUGUCGGGCGUGAAAUUCCAGGGCUCAACCUUGGGACUGCGUUCGAGACGGGUGAUCUUGAGUGGGGAAGAGGGUCGUGGAAUUCCCAGUGUAGAGGUGAAAUUCGUAGAUAUUGGGAAGAACACCGGUGGCGAGGGCGGCGACCUGGUCCUUUUACUGACGCUGAGGCGCGAAAGCGUGGGGAGCAAACAGG
rnacentral:rRNA from 1 species